GCCGGGCAUGGUGGCGCAUGCCUGUAAUCCCAGCUACUGGGGAGGCUGAGGCAGGAGAAUUGCUUGAACCCGGGAGGCGGAGGUUGCAGUGAGCCGAGAUAGCGCCACUGCACUCCAGCCUGGGCAACACAGCAAGACUGUCUCUA
rnacentral:sRNA from 1 species